AUGAUGAUGCAUAUUUUACGUAUACUAUACUCUGAUUUACAAGAGAAAAAUAUAUGGCUGCUGAGUGAACUGCGGGGAAUUAAAGAGAGCUGCAUAGUCUCUACCCUCAUGUGCAGAUGCUCAAUCAAUCUUGACUGCAACUUCAGCUUUUCCAUCAAGAACGUUUCACUCCAUGAUGCCAAGGAGAUGAAGAGAUAAACAUGUGGGUAUGGCUAGGCAGUUUGAGCCACAGGAUGCAAUUAGCAUCCUAGCCCAGGGUAAAUCCCUGCCUCCCACAGUUGAAGUCAUGGAAGGAUUGAAGAGAGGAGCAAUUACAUUUCCUGUGUCCUCUCAAUGACUUAUGACACCAACUACCUGGAAUUGAACCAAACUUCACAAUUCAAGGAUACACUCUUCUGCAAGUAAACUUUCACCCCAUGCACCAGCUGCUAGUUUGGGUUCUUCAGACCAACAUCAUUCUGGCCAGCUGGCUUCAAAUUUGGAAAUUCCCACUACUAGUUCAAAUUUUAUUUGCUAGACUGACUCACCAAAACUUAAGAAAGUGCUGUACUGAUGGUUAUACUUUAUUAUGACUACAGGAAAUCAGAGCCAUCCAUAUGGAAAACUUCACAGAGUAAGAUCUAAGAGAGGCCCAAAUAUGGAAACUCCCAUUGUCUGUGAACUUGUGGACUCUGUGAACUUGUAGACACUAUUAUCCAAAUAUGUUGUAGUACUCAAAAUAUCAGCAAUCACUGAAAGCUCUACUUAUUCUCUGUGUCAUCAUUUUGUUGGGGUUCUAUUACAUAGGUACAGUUGGCUGAUUCAAUGGACUUGUCCUUCAUUCUCCAGCCUCCUUCUCUCUAUGUGCUUAGGCUGAUUUCACCAAUCAUAAAGCCCUCACACUUUAUGGAUGAUUAUGGAUGCAGCAAUUCAUAGACACACUUGGAGCUUUGUGAAGGUAAGUAGAAUCAGAAAUUCAAGGUCAUUAUGUGCUACAAAAUAAGUUCAAUUCUAGCCUGACCUACAUGAAAUGUUUUGACUCAGAUAGAUAGAUAGAUAGAUAGAUAGAUAGAUAGAUAGAUAGAUAGGAAAAAAGAACAAAAGAAGGAAGGAAAGAAAGAGAAA
rnacentral:lncRNA from 1 species